AUGUCUAUUGUUCAGAGAACCCUGUGCAAGCUCAGCUUAGAGGGUGAUCACUCCAUACCCACAAGUGCCUGUGGGUCAGUUAAAGCCUACACCAAAUUUGAUGCCAAGAGGGAUGCUCUGAACCUUGAGAUGGUGUCAAGACCAAACGAAUGGUUGAGGUCAGCAUCGUCAACAUUCUGACUAACCACAGCAAUGUGCAGGAACAGGACAUUGCCUUCACCUAUCCGUGCUGAAGUCAGUCUUAUCUGGCUACCUGGAGACAGAUUUCAGGCCUAUUGAAGACACCUGCCCAGUACGAUGCUUUUGCACUGAAAGCCUCUGGGAAGGGCCUGGGGACAGAUUGAGGGCUUCCUCAUCGAGACCAUCUGCUCAAGAACCAACCAGGGGCUGCUGGAGAGUAACAGAUUGUAUUAGGAGACAUACAAGACCAAUCUGGAGAAGGAUGCCAUUUCCAACACACCUGGAGGCUUCUGCAAGCUGAGGGCUGCCUUUGCCAAGGGAAGAAGAGCAGAGGAUGGUUCAGUCAGUGAUUACAACCUGACUGACCAGGAUGCCUGAGAGCUCUCUGACACUGGGUUGAAGACCAAUGGAACCGAUGUCACCAAGUGGAUAAGCAGCUUGACCAAGACCACUGUGUGCCAUCUCUAUGACAUGCUGGAGACCAUCAAGAAGUAGGUCAAGGGCUGGAGAGAUGGCUCAGCAGUUAAGAGCACUGACUGCUCUUCCAGAGGUCCUGAGUUCAAUUCCCACCAACCACAUGGUGGCUUACAACCAUCUAAUGCCCUUUUCUGGUAUGUCUGAAAACAGUGUACUCACAUGCAUAUAAUAAAUAAAUCUUAAAAAAAUUUUAAAAAAAGAAGUAGGUUAAAGGAGACCUGGAAAAUGCAUUCCUGAACCUGGUCCAGUACAUACAGAACAAGCCGCUGUACUUUGCUGACUGGCUGUAUGACUCAUCAAGGGCAAGAGGAAUCAAGAAAAGAUCCUGAUUAGAAGUAUGGCCUCCUAAAGUGAGGUGGACAUGUUGAAAAUCAGACCUGAAUUCAAGAGGAAGUACUACAUCCAGCAGGAUACCAAGGGUGACUGUGGGUGCUGCUGUGCCUGUGCAGUGGACACA
rnacentral:lncRNA from 1 species